AGUGCGUACUAGGUUCUUUGGCUUUUCGUCGGUUUUCUUGUCGUGGCCUUUACUGGUGGCGGCAAGUGGCUGACAAUUUUACUUUGAACAAAUCAGAGUGCUCAACACAGGCGUUUCGCUUGUAUGCUUUUGCAUGGAAUAAUAGAAUAUGACUUCGGUCUAGUUUUAUUGGUUUUAUAGAUCGUUGUAAUGAUUAAAAGAGACAAACGGGGGCAUUCGUAUUGUUGCGUGAGAGGUGAAAUUCUUGGACCGCAGCAAGACGACCUACAGCGAAAGCAUUUGCCAAGCUUGUCUUCAUUAAUCAAGAACGAAAGUCAGAGGAUCGAAGGUGAUCAGAUACCGCCCUAGUUCUGACCGUAAACGAUGCCAACUAGCGAUUCGCCGGUGGAAUAUUUGCCCUGGCGAGGAGCUUCCCGGAAACGAAAGUCUUCCGGUUCCGGGGGAAGUAUGGUUGCAAAGCUGAAACUUAAAGGAAUUGACGGAAGGGCACCACCAGGAGUGGAGCCUGCGGCUUAAUUUGACUCAACACGGGAAAACUCACCCGGCCCGGACACUAUAAGGAUUGACAGAUUGAUAGCUCUUUCAUGAUUUGGUGGAUGGUGGUGCAUGGCCGUUCUUAGUUCGUGGAGUGAUUUGUCUGGUUUAUUCCGAUAACGAGCGAGACUCUAGCCUACUAAAUAGUUCGCUCAUUGUUUUGUGUAGCGAUACUUCCUAGAGGAAUUUUCGG
rnacentral:rRNA from 1 species